UGGAUUAUGUGUUAAUUCGACGCAACGCGAAGAACCUUACCAGGCCUUGACAUACUCGGCAAAGCUCUAGAGAUAGAGUGGAGGUUAUCCGGGAUACAGGUGGUGCAUGGUUGUCGUCAGCUCGUGUCGUGAGAUGUUGGGUUAAGUCCCGCAACGAGCGCAACCCUUGUCUUUAGUUACCAUCAUUCAGUUGGGGACUCUAGAGAGACUGCCGGUGAUAAACCGGAGGAAGGUGGGGAUGACGUCAAAUCAUCAUGCCCCUUAUGGCCUGGGCUACAAACGUAAUACAAUGGCGUAUACAAAGGGAUGCGAAAGGGCGACCUGGAGCAAAACUCACAAAGUACGUCUCAGUUCAGAUUGGAGUCUGCAACUCGACUCCAUGAAGGCGGAAUCGCUAGUAAUCGCGGAUCAGCAUGCCGCGGUGAAUACGUUCCCGGGUCUU
rnacentral:rRNA from 1 species